AGCAGCCGCGGUAAUUCCAGCUCCAAUAGCGUAUAUUAAAGUUGUUACAGUUAAAAAGCUCGUAGUUGAAUUUCGGGAUCAAUUUAUUGGUCGUGCUAUUGUACGUACUGGUAUUAUUGAUUCCUACCUUCUGACGAACCACGAUGUCAUUAAUUUGGUGUCAUGGGGAAUCAGGACUGUUACUUUGAAAAAAUUGGAGUGUUUAAAGCAGGCUCACGCUUGAAUACAUUAGCAUGGAAUAACGAAAUAGGACGUUUGAUUCUAUUUUGUUGGUUUCUAGGAUCGACGUAAUGAUUAAUAGGGAUAGUUGGGGGCAGUUAGUAUUCAAUUGUCAGAGGUGAAAUUCUUGGAUUUAUUGAAGACUAACUACUGCGAAAGCAUUUGCCAAGGAUGUUUUCAUUAAUCAAGAACGAAAGUUAGGGGAUCGAAGACGAUCAGAUACCGUCGUAGUCUUAACCAUAAACUAUGCCGACUAGGGAUCGGAUGAUGUAAUUUUUAAUGACUCAUUCGGCGCCUUAAC
rnacentral:rRNA from 1 species